CCUUCCAAGUCUUGUCCAGUGUGAUGUGACGCUCUAUGACCUUUGCCCCCAGAGCAACAGCCGCCACUGAAAUACUGAUUCCGGACUCAUGGCCAGAAUACCCAAUUGGGAUAUCGGGGAAUUCCUUCUGGUAUUCCUGUUGAUGACAAGAGGGUUUUAAGAUAUGAAUUACUUUGAACAUUUCAUCAAGUUAUUGUAAUUUUUUUGUUCGAUUUACUGUGAUCACUCUGAGGUUGACAUCCUGAGGCUCAAGGGGGUAGGUACUGGUACACUGCAGGAUGACAAAGUUUUGGUUGUGCUCCUUCACUGUCUUGUACACCUGACGCAUUGUCUCUAUGGACUGCAUCCCACUGGAAAUCACCAUGGGACGUCCUGACAUGCACGCACGUACCGUACACACAAAAGAGAAGCUUAAUGUCUAACAUGAAUGGAUUGUUCAACAUUGUAAUUUCAUUAUUAGGCCAUGAUUUUAGUACCCGGGCCUUGAGUGGGUCUUACUGGACUUCAUUCACCUCUUACUACGACCACUAUCGUGCCACAUUCAUAGAAACAAUCAACACCACACAAAAAAGCAAUAUAACAGCACACAAUUGUGCAAUGUCCAUCACGAGCAGUUCAGUCAGUAUUGCUUCUAUCUAUCUAUUGUAUGUAUGGAGUUUAUGUAUGUAAUCUGUGGUUCCCUAAAAUUUUAAAACUCAUAUCAAUCAACCAAUCACCUUUCUUGGCAGCCUUUUCCAAAUAAGGAAAGUUGUUGGCGUCUGCGGAGGCCACUUUGAAGAAAGGGACAUUAAUCUCGUGGAGAAACUCUAUCGCCAUCUAAAAAGUGCAAAGGUUAAAGUGAAACCUUUUUUUUUUUUGCGUGUGUUCAAAAUAUAAAACCUGCAAAGGCACACACAGUACCUCAUCCAUCCCUGAGGCAGUUAAGAAGAUCCCCACUUCCUUUGCGUACUUCUGCAGCUCCCUGUACUGGUCAUGGCUGAACUCCAGGUGGCGUUUGUGCUCACCAUACGUUUCUCCCCAGGAGUUUUUGGUCUUGUAAGGACGCUCCAAAGCACGUUUGUUGAACUUGUACUGCAGCUCACUUUUCUGGAACUUGGCACAGUCGGCACCACAGUCCUGUCAAAGUAAAUACAUAUGGAAUGGAUGAGGGACAUGCACACACACUUGUACUACAUUGACGUCCAGAAACGCAACCCCUCAUGGUGCUCCCUUCUAGAUGGGUCGCCCC